GCAGCAGUGGGAUUUGACCAUGGGGCAGCUGAUCCAGCAUGCGCGUGUGUGAAGAAGGCUUCGGUGUAAAGCACUUUGUCUGGAAAGAAAUCGCACUGGUAAUACUGGUGUGGAUGACGGUACCGGAAGAAUAAGGACCGGCUAACUACGUGCCAGCAGCCGCGGUAAUACGUAGGGUCAAGCGUUAAUCGGAAUUACUGGGCGUAAAGCGUGCGCAGGCGGUUGUGCAAGACCGAUGUGAAAUCCCCGGGCUUAACCUGGGAAUUGCAUUGGUGACUGCACGGCUAGAGUGUGUCAGAGGGAGGUAGAAUUCCACGUGUAGCAGUGAAAUGCGUAGAGAUGUGGAGGAAUACCGAUGGCGAAGGCAGCCUCCUGGGAUAACACUGACGCUCAUGCACGAAAGCGUGGGGAGCAAACAGGAUUAGAUACCCUGGUAGUCCACGCCCUAAACGAUGUCAACUAGUUGUUGGGGAUUCAUUUCCUUAGUAACGUAGCUAACGCGUGAAGUUGACCGCCUGGGGAGUACGGUCGCAAGAUUAAAACUCAAAGGAAUUGACGGGGACCCGCACAAGCGGUGGAUGAUGUGGAUUAAUUCGAUGCAACGCGAAAAACCUUACCUACCCUUGACAUGCCACUAACGAAGCAGAGAUGCAUUAGGUGCUCGAAAGAGAAAGUGGACACAGGUGCUGCAUGGCUGUCGUCAGCUCGU
rnacentral:rRNA from 1 species